rfam:Clostridium sp. CAG:7 genomic scaffold, scf247
CUCCAUAGAGCUCGAUGGUUGAGCACAUGACUCUUAAUCAUGUUGAGCAGGUUCGAUUCCUGUUAUGGAAA